rnacentral:rRNA from 1 species
GAUGAACGCUAGCGGCAGGCCUAACACAUGCAAGUCGAGGGGUAGAACACUUCGGUGUUUGAGACCGGCGCACGGGUGCGUAACGCGUAUGCAAUCUACCUUAUACAGGGGAAUAGCCCAGAGAAAUUUGGAUUAAUGCCCCAUAGCAUUACGACUUGGCAUCAAGAUGUAAUUAAAGUUCCAACGGUAUAAGAUGAGCAUGCGUCCCAUUAGUUAGUUGGUAAGGUAACGGCUUACCAAGACAAUGAUGGGUAGGGGUCCUGAGAGGGAGAGCCCCCACACUGGUACUGAGACACGGACCAGACUCCUACGGGAGGCAGCAGUGAGGAAUAUUGGUCAAUGGGCGCAAGCCUGAACCAGCCAUGCCGCGUGCAGGAAGACUGUCCUAUGGAUUGUAAACUGCUUUUAUACAGGAAGAAACAUCCCGACGUGUCGGGACUUGACGGUACUGUAGGAAUAAGGAUCGGCUAACUCCGUGCCAGCCGCCGCGGUAAAAC